AUUUUACUUCAAAUGAAACAAAUACAAUGGUAUUCUUACGGAGAGCUUCACAAAUUACAGAACAGAAGGCAUAACAAUAAGAAUUACAUUUCAAUAGGAAGCCAUCAACAUAAUAUAAUAAAUCAUAAUAAAUAAUAUAUACAACAUAACAUAAUAAUCAAACCCUUGACUGUCAGAGUAAUUUACUAAAGUGAACUUUAAAUUCAAGGAAACUGG